GUCUACGGCCAUGCCACCCUGAACAAGCCUGAUCCCAUCUGAUCUCGGAAGCUAAGCAAGGUUGGGCCUGGUUAGUACUUGGAUGGGAGACCACCUAAGAAGACCAGGUGCUGUAGGUG
rnacentral:rRNA from 1 species